rnacentral:misc_RNA from 1 species
GACACAGCAGGCUAAGCAGG